CUCCUGAAUUCAAGUCGCUUUUUUAGUUACAAACGAAAGACGUAGUAAAAACAAAUUGUAACGGCUGUUUAAUAUUUAAAAUUAAAGAAAAUAUUAAUAAUUUAUAAAGUAAAUAAAAUAUCAAGAAAAAAACAAAAGAAGAAAUAUAAAAAAAAUUUGCUGAAAUUUUUUAAAACAAAAAGAAAUUUAUAAAAAAAAGAAAAAUAAAUAAAAUUUCCUUAAAUGACCACUUUAAAUGUUUAGAUUUCUGGAUAAUAGUUUUAUAUGUUAUUGAGUUUCAAACAACAACAAAAACAACAAGAUUCAGUAAGAGAAAUCACUGAGCUGUGACACAGAUAGAAACGUGCAAAGUGUUGCUAACACAUAAUUUAUAAAACCAAAAAAGAAAAAUAAGAGCAUAAAAAAACACAUAGGCAUAAAUACAAACAUAUAAAUAAAUAUAAAAAAUGGCAACAACAAGUGAAAUAAAUAUAUAAAAAUUAUAUUCUAAUAUAAAAGAGUAUAUAAAUAAAUAUGUAACAUUAUAUGGUGUUUACAAAAAGAAUUUAAAUAAAAUAACACAACUCUAACUCAUAGAAAUCGCAAAGCAUACAAAUUAUGAUUGUAUUUGUGUAUGUGUAGAAACAUUUCAAAGGUGUGUUAUAAUAACAAAAUAGAAAAAAAGAAAAACAAGAAUACGACAGACUGACAGACAAACUUAAAAUCAUUUGUUGAAAAGUUAACAAGAUCACCAUCAUGUUGCUGCUGCUUCUGUUAAUGGUGAUGAUGCUGUACUAAACACCAGACAAUAUACAAGACUUUCAGAGUUUUUAAACAGGAUUAAAAUUGCAAUGCAUAAAGUAAACAACUACGAUUAGUGGGAAGAAAGUAUGCUUAAUAUUUAUUUAUCUGCUUUAAAAUAUAAACGAGGAUAAACAUGUUGAAUGUUAAAUAUUUGUAUGCAUCCAUUUCCAAUUGAUAGUCACCAAAAGGGGUAAUAAAGAGAGACUGGGAUGAAAAACCGCAAUAAAAAGAUUUGAUUUUUAAAUAGGCAG